rnacentral:misc_RNA from 1 species
GUGAAUCAUCAAAUUUUUGAACGCAAAUUGCACUCUCCGGUUUUCCGGGAGAGUAUGCCUGUUUGAGGGUCAGCCUAAAAAAAAUCGACAUUGUUGCUGUUAUUUAAUGGUGACUUUCGUCGGAGAUUGGGUUAUCUUAAACCUUUUUUUUUUUUUGGUUUAAGGACUUUAAAUUUUUUUUUCAGAUUUCCUUGACGGUUCCAAGAUUUUUUUUUUUUUAUAGGU